rnacentral:piRNA from 1 species
UUCAGUGACCUAUGGCUGCUUCUUAGCCAGU